UACAGAGGUGGCAAGCGUUGUUCGGAAUUACUGGGCGUAAAGGGCGCGUAGGCGGCCUUCUAAGUCGGACGUGAAAGCCCCAGGCUUAACCUGGGAACUGCGUCUGAUACUGGAAGGCUUGGAUUCGGGAGAGGGAUGUGGAAUUCCAGGUGUAGCGGUGAAAUGCGUAGAUAUCUGGAGGAACACCGGUGGCGAAGGCGGCAUCCUGGACCGAGAUCGACGCUGAGGCGCGAAAGCUAGGGGAGCAAAC
rnacentral:rRNA from 1 species